rnacentral:rRNA from 1 species
UUGGAGGGCAAGUCUGGUGCCAGCAGCCGCGGUAAUUCCAGCUCCAAUAGCGUAUAUUAAAGUUGUUGCAGUUAAAAAGCUCGUAGUCGAAUUUCGGGAUCAAUACGUCGGUCGUGCUUUCGGGUACGUACUGGCGUCAUUGGUUUCUCCUUUCUGACGAACCAUGAUGUCAUUAAUUUGGUGUUAUGGGGAGUUAGGACUGUUACUUUGAAAAAAUUAGAGUGUUUAAAGCAGGCAUUAGCUUGAAUACAUUAGCAUGGAAUAAUGAAAUAGGACGUUCGAUCCUAUUUUGUUGGUUUCUAGGAUCAACGUAAUGAUUAAUAGGGAUAGUUGGGGGCAUUAGUAUUCAAUUGUCAGAGGUGAAAUUCUUGGAUUUAUUGAAGACUAACUACUGCGAAAGCAUUUGCCAAGGAUGUUUUCAUUAAUCAAGAACGAAAGUUAGGGGAUCGAAGACGAUCAGAUACCGUCGUAGUCUUAACCAUAAACUAUGCCGACUAGGGAUCGGAUGAUGUUAAUUUUUUAAUGACUCAUUCGGCGCCUUACGGGAAAC